rnacentral:rRNA from 1 species
AUUGAACGCUGGCGGCAUGCUUUACACAUGCAAGUCGAACGGUAACAGGGUGCUUGCACCGCUGACGAGUGGCGAACGGGUGAGUAAUGCGUCGGAACGUGCCGAGUAGUGGGGGAUAACGCAGCGAAAGUUGUGCUAAUACCGCAUACGUACUGAGGUAGAAAGUGGGGGACCUUCGGGCCUUACGCUAUUCGAUCGGCCGACGUCUGAUUAGCUAGUUGGUGAGGUAAAGGCUCACCUAGGCGACGAUCAGUAGCGGGUCCGAGAGGAUGAUCCGCCACACUGGGACUGAGACACGGCCCAGACUCCUACGGGAGGCAGCAGUGGGAAUUUUGGACAAUGGGCGAAAGCCUGAUCCAGCCAUGCCGCGUGUCUGGAGAAGGCCUUCGGAUUGUAAAGGACUUUUGUCAGGGAGGAAAUCCCUAGUGCUAAUAACACUGGGGGAUGACAGUACCUGAAGAAUAAGCACCGGCUAACUACGUGCCAGCCGCCGCCGUAACAC